rnacentral:rRNA from 1 species
GACGAACGCUGGCGGCGUGCCUAAUACAUGCAAGUUGAGCGCUGAAGGUUGGUACUUGUACCAACUGGAUGAGCAGCGAACGGGUGAGUAACGCGUGGGGAAUCUGCCUUUGAGCGGGGGACAACAUUUGGAAACGAAUGCUAAUACCGCAUAAAAACUUUAAACACAAGUUUUAAGUUUGAAAGAUGCAAUUGCAUCACUCAAAGAUGAUCCCGCGUUGUAUUAGCUAGUUGGUGAGGUAAAGGCUCACCAAGGCGAUGAUACAUAGCCGACCUGAGAGGGUGAUCGGCCACAUUGGGACUGAGACACGGCCCAAACGCCUACGGGAGGCAGCAGUAGGGAAUCUUCGGCAAGAGACGAAAGUCUGACCGAGCAACGCCGAGUGAGUGAAGAAGGUUUUCGGAUCGUAAAACUCUGUUGGUAGAGAAGAACGUUGGUGAGAGUGGAAAGCUCAUCAAGUGACGGUAACUAACCAGAAAGGGACGGCUAACUACGUG